rnacentral:rRNA from 1 species
GACGAACGCUGGCGGCGCGCCUAACACAUGCAAGUCGAACGGAGUCAAGAGGAGCUUGCUCUUCUUGACUUAGUGGCGAACGGGUGAGUAACGCGUGAGUAACCUGCCCUGGAGUGGGGGACAACAGUUGGAAACGACUGCUAAUACCGCAUAAGCCCACGGAUCUGCAUGGAUCUGCGGGAAAAGGAUUUAUUCGCUCUAGGAUGGACUCGCGUCCAAUUAGCUAGUUGGUGAGGUAACGGCCCACCAAGGCGACGAUUGGUAGCCGGACUGAGAGGUUGAACGGCCACAUUGGGACUGAGACACGGCCCAGACUCCUACGGGAGGCAGCAGUGGGGGAUAUUGCACAAUGGGGGAAACCCUGAUGCAGCGACGCCGCGUGGAGGAAGAAGGUUUUCGGAUUGUAAACUCCUGUCGUUAGGGACGAUAAUGACGGUACCUAACAAGAAAGCACCGGCUAACUACGUG